GUAAAAAAAACCUAAAAGAAUACUCUUAUAUCAAAACAAUUCUUGUUAUCCUAAUUUCUAAAUUACAACUCGAAAUGUAUAAAUUUGUUUAUAAAAAAAAGAAAACUUUCAUAAAAUAGAAUUUUUGAGAACUUUAUUUUUAAAAAUACACCCUAUUGAUAAAAAAAAACCUAAUAACAUACCCAUCCACCAACAAAAUUUCUUGUUGUUCUAAAUUCUAAAUCACAACUUCAAAUUUACAAUAUUUCUCCAUAAAAAGAAAAUCUUUCCUAAAAUAGAAUUUCUGCGAAUUUUAUUUAUAAAAUAGAACCUAUUGAACAAAAAAUUAAAAAGAAUACUCAUCUAUUAAAAAAAUUCUUGUUAUUCUAAUUUCUAAAUCACAAUUCCAAAUGUUUAAUAUUUUUCACUAAAAAUAAAAAAUUUACUAAAAUAAAAAUUUUGAGAACUUUAUUUUAAAAAUACACCCUAUUGUUCAAAAAACCUAAAAGAAUACUAAUCUAUCAAAAAUAAUUCUUGUAAUUGUCCAUAUAUUUAGAUAACAAGCUUCAGCAACUUCCUCUUAAAAGUUUCAACUCCAUAAAUAAUUUAUUACUAUUAAUAUCACAACAAUAAUUUAUUACUAUCAAUAUCACACUAAUUACGAUGUUUGAGAAAAAAACUAAAAGUUAGUUUCUUAAUUUUAGAGUUAAUCCAACAUUUUUUUUGAAAGAAACCAAACUUUUGAUUCACAAUUUUGAUAAGUAAUUGAUUCUGAAGUUUUGUUGCUAUAAAUGUCACACCUUGGUCAUUUUUUCUAGGUUUUUCAUCAUGAUAUUUGCUUUUUAUUAAUGAACUGUUUUGCUUUCACAUAAAAUACAUGAUCAAUUUCUAUAGCAAUAGCAAUAUGUUCAGCUUCUACUUUUGCUUAUUGGAAACAUAUUUCUCUAUAGUCUUAUAAAAAAAGAAAUACCACAUUUCAGUUGAAUAAUAGCAAUAUCAUAUAUAUAUUUUCUAAUUGUACAAUCUUACUUACUUUGUUAACAACAAACAAAAGCUCAUACCAAAUAACCAUUUCAAUCAAAACUCAAAGCUUCCAAUUCCAUAAAUUCCACUUAUUGCAAGAGACUCAACAUCACUUCUUAUUCCUGGAUUUCCACUGUUUUCAGCCAAGUAAAACAAAGGCUCUCGUAUUUAUGGAGUAUGAAAUUGUAUUGCUUUAACACUUUUGAUGCGGCUUUCCCAACGAAUUUGUGAUAAUGGUUUUAUUGUAACACCAAUCACAAUCUCUCUGAAAACUUCACAGUUGUUUGUAGAAGAAGCAAACAAAUUAUAGAUGCAUUGAAUAAUUCCAAAAAUGAUAGUUAUCAAAGAAGCGAUAUCAGAAAGUGCAAGAUUUAGACUAUUGACAACCGCAUGGUGUGUAGACAACCCUGAGAUUAAUUUCUGGCAACCUGUUUUGUACUCCUUAACUUUCACUUUCAUGUUGAUUCAUUAUCAUAACCUUGCCCUCUAAUGUCAUCUAUACUCAGCCCAAGACUAUGCAACACAUCUUGAAGGGUGUCAAAAAUCACUUCUCCUAUUUUGUCUUUGACUUCCAAGAAUGUCAAAAAAAAUUAUUUCAAUCUUUGGAGAAGUCUCGAAAAUAUGCACACGUCGGAUAACCAUGGACAUUUGUUCCCGUUGACUGAUAUCAGUUGUGCUGGCAAGAAUAACUGAAAAAUACUUUGCAUAUCGAAUCUUCUUUGAGAUCAUUUGUUUGAUCUCAUUCUCAAGCAUCUCUAUCAACUCAAUUUGAAUCAUGUGAUUGAGAUAAUGAUAAUGAGAGUUUCACGCUUAGAUCCGUCUAACGUGUUCUUUCAUCACUGGAUCAAAAUCUGCAAAUACUUCAAUCAUACAAAAGAAAUUACCAUUACCAUUCACAUGGAUCUUAUCACUAUUUCCAUGAAAUGCAACAUUUUGUUUAGCAAUUCUUUUUACCACUGCAAUUAUACUCAGCAACACAUCUCUCCAGUGUUUUUUUUUCUCUUUGUUGAUCUCUUCUUGAAUAGGCUUAUCAAUUGUUUGAUUCUUAUGAUCUCUCUUCCAACUCCAUCCAUUGAAUCAUGCAUGUGAUAUGCUUAUGAUCUUUUUCAUGUUCCUUAACCAGUUUCCAGUUUUGAGACAUUUCUCCUAUCAUCAGACCUAAUAGUUGCCAACAAAUUCGUAAGUUUAUCUUGCAUAAAUAACUUACUUCUCUCCAUUCAUUAUUUUUCUGGUAUAAAACGAAUGAGAAAAAAAAAUUGACUAAAUAAUCUAUUGAAAAAUGAUAAUCAAUUGAAGGUUUUGCCAUUGGACCUUUUUCAACCAUAAAAUCUCUCAUUUUUUAUCAAAUUUUCCCAACUUCGAGGACCAUUUAUAUCUCCAUCUAUCUGAUAUUCCUUAACACCAUAUGCGUUAUCAUCCUCUUCAUUCUCAUUCUCGUCAAACUCAUGUUCAUUGCCUUGUUCACCAUUGUUUUCAUUUUGAUAAUGAUCAAACCCACUAGCUUCUUCUCAGCUUUUAUUACUCUUCCUCUAAGAAUUCAUCAAGUGUAGGAGGUUAAGAUUUUUUACAUACCUUAACAUGCAAUCAGCCAUUGAAUUUAUUAGUGUUUCUUGCUUAUUCUUUUAUCUUACUUUAGCUGCACAUCUCAUCUUAUUUUUUUAUUAGUUUUGAAUACAUUGAACUACAAAAAAAAAUUGUGAGAAAUUAUAUCGUUAUAUAAAAGUAAGAUACAAUGAUAAAAGUAAGAAAAUAGAGUGAGUUGGGUUAAAACCCCAAAAUAAUAUGAAAAUUAAGAGAAUACCCAAAACAGUAAAAAUGCAGGUUUCGGUAUUUGUGUUGGAUAAGCAAGAUUACCAUUUUAUCCCUCAGUGAAUAAAACAUGUUUUGCAUUUGUAGGUAUAGUGUCAAAAAAAUGUGUUUUAGGUUUGUACAACAGAUUUACGUAAUAUUUCCUUUAGAUUUUUUUUGUUUUUAUGUAAAUUGGUAAAUACUGACAAAAAAAAAACUAGUAUUCUUCCCGUACUGCGUACGGGGAAAGGAAGUGAUUAAUUUAUUAUGUUAAAAAGUAUGAUUUGUAGCAAAUUUUAUUGCAUGAUUCAUGCUAAUAGCAUUUUCCUCUACACUAAUGAUAUAUUCUUUUCGAAUUCCCUUUACAUUUUAGACGGAUAAAGUGAUUAAUGAUAUAUUCUUUUCAAAUUCAUUUUACAUUUUUAAUUCAGUUACUUGGUUGCAAGGUUAGUGUUGAUCAUUAUAUAUGCUUAUAUAUACAGAAGCCAAUACAUGUAUGUAACAUAUAUACACACACACUCGUGACAGAUGUGCCUAAACUAAGUCGAUUUUCAAUUUAAACAAAAAAAGAAAAGAAGAAAUAACUCGAUUUCAGCUCCAUCACAGAAUUGAUAUAUAUUUUCAUUAUAAAUACAAACCAUAUGCACUGGAAUGCAUUAACUUCUAACCAUACAUACUUCAGCUACGUAUGGAAAAUCAGUUGGACUCUCAGCUCAGGAUUUCAUCUAAUAUGGACUGAAAAAUAUUUGUAAAAAUUCCAAUUUCAUUAACACUGAUGGAAAAAAAUGUCAGUUACGAUUUUUUUGUUUAGAUAUUAUAUUUAAUUAUAUAAAAAUAUGUUGCCUCACUCCUGGUGAUGCCACCUCAUCAAAUAGCUUCACCACAGUUUGACACGUGUCUCCUAAAAAAAAAGUCGAUGGGUUUCGUUUUAUUUUGGCUUUCACGAAUUGAUUAUUUGUAGUGUCUAGAUAAUGUAUUUUGGGCUGGAACCCAAAUAAAAACUAGGCCCAUUUCAGCUACAUCUUCUUCCCAAUUAUUCUAGGGUUCAUCGUCUCUUCCGGAAUCUGAUUCCGUCUACCAACCAUGGAGGUUUUGAAAUGGGGUUUGAGUCAAGUCUUCCUUAGUAAUCUACGCGUUGUGUCUGUUCAUGUCGUUUUGGUCUCUAUUCUUCACCUCUCACCCGUUACAAGUCGCAUUGAAUCACCUUCAUUAACCAAUAUUUAAUUUUUCCUAUCCACUACAACCACGAUUUCGCAUUCAAUGAAUCUUAUCAUUCUUUCCGGCAAUGAUUCUUACCUAUAAAAAGGUAUGGCUUCAUCAAGUCAACUGCUCAGUCCCGGCUCUUCCCUCCUCAGGUCGUUUGAUAAAGGAAGCCUUAAUGUGGUUGGCCGAAGACUUUGAAGGAAAAGGCGGCCGGAGUGGGAGAAACAUUGGAAGGAAGAGGACUGGAUUAGCCAUGUCUCGAUUGCGUCUAACCCAUACCCGUAAGUUGUCGAAUUGGGUUUGGAGUCAGUUUCGGUUAACCAGAAUCCAGUCAGGUAGUACUAGAGUUAACUGGUUAUGGAAAAGAUGCAGAAAUCUAAAAAAAAUGAGUCUGAAAUCAUGUGGAACCAUUGGAGAAAUAGAAGAAUUUUUCUGUUUGUAUCUGUAGAAUCUUAAAAGAGAUUGAGCUUAGGACUUGCAGAAGAAGUAUAAUGUUGAUAAAAAAUAAGUAUUGUGGAUGCGGUUUUGCUGGAAGUUUCAGAAAUUUGUGAAUCUUUCAAGUCUCUGUGGAUAUAUGAUGGUGGUUGCAAAUACGGAAUGUUCGUACAUCUCAUUUCUCUAGCUGCGAAUUUUUAUCUUUGUAUACUCUUAAUCGUUGCUCAAAAAAAAAAAAAGUAUACUCUUAAUCUUCCAAGUUGUUACUUUGUGACAGUUACCUAUGUUAUUGAGCAUAUUGCUGUCAUCUCUUUACAAGACGUGUUCUGAAUAAGCCAUGCAUUCCCAAGUGGUGGACCUCUCAAGAAUUAACAGAUCUGUCAUCUCUGAAACCGCUGACAUGAUUUGAUCAUGGGGUCCUUCUCUAUAUAUAGACAGACUUCAGCAUUGCAUGACAUCUAAGCGGCGGUACAAGCCAAAUAGCAGAGUAGUGCGUUUAUGAAACUGAAAUGCAGUAUCUAAAUGCCAAUACAUUACUGCCAAAAAAUUUGACAAGCAAACUAUUAGUAGAAACACCCGAACCAUAAAAUCAAAAGAAAGGGCAGUCCAAGUCUUUACUUUAAACAGAUUAAGAAAUUUAUGUUAAUGAUUUAGCCAAAGUUUGUUCUUUCCAAGUUCACACGUUUGUACACCUUUAAUAAAUAACAAAUUAUAGCCGAAGACGGCACCACGUAAAUCAGAACCACCGUAUACAAAACAUUUACACUUUACAACCUUGAGCUUUAAAAAGAGAAUCUGUUGUGAGGAAGAAUCAUGUCCCUACAAAAGGGUAUAUCUGCUGUAGAGUAGGUUUGGAGAUGAUAAAGCAAAAGAGUUCAUUCCUUAGCAAGAUCGUGCUUGCUCACAACAGCAAAGUUAUAACAUAUACAGUCAUUGAUCCAUUGCUUCGCUUGAAUAUGCAUGUGGGUAUUAUUGUUUGAUAGCGCAAAGGGCAUGAUGCAUAUCAGUUUUGUAUUCAACCACCAGAUACACCAGAACAGAUUCAUGGGUUCAGCACAAAAGAAAACCUCCAAGGACCAUGUUAGUGUUUAACAUGGUUCUCUUAAGAACCUUAUAAUCGGAAAUGCUUUCUUUUACAUGCACUUCAAUGACGAAAAGCAUAAACCAUCAUCUCAGCUAUCUCAUUGCUACUCAGGUCUUUCUCUGACUUUCUCUAUUUUCCUAUUUGUUCCAAAAAUUUUAGGUAAUAUAGACGAUGGUAUAGGAGAUUCACUAAUUUUUGUGGUGCAUCUUUGAAGAAUCUUCUGAACACAUGCCUUCUUAUAUACUACUACAAUAUUUAGUCUAAUGAUGGUCCUAAGCGAACACACUCUUUUCUGGGAUCACAAAACUUGAUUUCUUAAAAUCAAUCUUCACUCUAAACUUGCAACUUUAUAUGCUAUAUUCUCCCAAAGGAUUAUAGGGUCAUUGGUCUCCUUGAUUUCGUUUAAAAAUAUGUAGGUACAAUCGGCAAAGCUUGAGGAGAGGAUUAGAUUCAAAAUGUGUAAAGAAAUUUUGGAAAAAAGGCUAGAGGAAUUUGGCGUUGCCAGAAAGAGCAUGAGGAUUCUAUCGAGUAAGUUUUUUUUUUUUCUUUUUGGUCAAAUAUGGUGUAAGUUUUUUUUUUUUAAUUUGAGUAAUUAGCUCUUUUAGCACACCACACUGCAAUUUAUUGUAUUAGACAGCUUAAACUUAAGACUGAAAAAGCUGGCAAAUCAUAUAUACUGCUAUGCCUAACUGCGUACAUGUUUGUUUUUUUUGUUCUUCUCUAUAACGAAGUUGUAUAUGAUCUAAUCAUUUUACCUUUAAAAAGUGUACAUGCUAACCUUAGUGAAACUUAAUUUUUUUUUCACGACUACACAUAGUUUAUAGGCAUUUUCAAGUUCACUUAAACAGUACUCACCAUACCAUUCUUUGUUCUAAUAACAAACUGACUUAAAUGUAAUGGCACACAAACUAUAUAAUUAUUUAAAACAAAUUAAUCAUAACAAUUAGACAGUUGUAUGGUGCAUUUCAAUUUCAAGGUUGAACUUUAAAAGGUUAUUCGAAAUUAAGAAAAUGUUGUUGCCUACCUGGGAUUUGGACUGUUCUUCUCCACCUUCUUUCCAUACUCUCGACUCUGAUUAAAGCCGUAGUCGAGCACUUCCCCAUCAGACUAUGUCUUCAAUGCAACUCUUUCUCUUACUUUCUUCUUUUCUUUCUUAACAUGGUUUUCUUACAUAAUAAAAUAAGAAAGAAAACAAAUAGAUUCAGCAUAGAAUAACCUGUAAAAUAAGCAAUCAGAGACUUCAUGUCUUUACUGUCUUUUGAACCCAAUAAUUGAACCAUAAUUAACUAUAGUUGACUACUAAUUUAUCUUACCUACUACUUAUCAUAAUAAAUAUUUUUUAUUUGAAACAUUCUAAAAGUUUCAAUUUAGUUUUAUAAUUGAUUUUCUAAUUCUUAUAGUCAAAAUAUAUAUGUAUUAUAAUUUUUAUAUAAAGGUUGAUGUUUAAUAAACACACCAAAUACUUAGAAAAUUAAUGCAUGCAUAAUGAGAUGAAUAAACACUGGGUUUGAUUAGUUGAGGCUGUGGUUUUAUCUUUUUUGCUCUAAGAUUUAGGCUUUAGAUUUUUAGUUGUGUCUUUAAAUAUUUUGCUGUAGAAUUUUUUCCAAAGCACUAGAGAGAUUGAUUUCUAAAACUAAAUAUUUCCUUUAUAAAGUUUUGGCUGUAUAUUCAAUUUUUCAACAAAAACAUGAUUACUUUAAAAGAUGACCAUAGAAAUAAAAGGUUGUGUCCACAGCUUCGACAACAUCUUCCAAUCAACCUCACUAUUUACUGCAAAUAAGAACUCUAAAUACAGGCGAAACACAAUAUCUAACCAACAAAUAAUUACCGCCUGUAUUACUUGAUAACAAGCUCUCCAUUCUAAUAUAAAUUUGAACUAUAAGUUUAUUUACCCGCCCGUAGGGCGGGUUUACCCUAGUUUUCUAUUAUAAAAAAGGUAUUUGACUCUAGUUUCCCUAUUUACGCAUAUUUAAAAAACAUGUCGAUUUGGCAAAUAAACAAAGAAAUAUACCCUUGUUAUUCAAGUAGCUUUUCAACAGGAUUCACAAAAAAAAUAAUGAUAUUAUUUAGAUGGUAUCAUUGUGACUUUUAUUUUGUUUUUUGCCAUAACAUAAUAAAUAAAAAGCAUUAGAAGUAAAACAUGCAAAAUACGGUACUUAAAGUUUCACUAAAAAGGUUAGUAAAAUAGAAUACUCAUACCUAUAAUUUCUUUUUUUGUUGAUAGUUUUUUUCAGCGUGUGAGAUUUGUUGCUUUUUCCACAUGUUUUGAAAUUUCAUCAGUCAAUCAUUAUUUUUUAGCUCCAAAAAGAUAAAAUAGAAAUAUUUAAACAGUAUAUUUAGAGACAGAAAAAUUUCGAUAUAUCCAUUUUGUCUCGUCUCAAAUUUUAGAAAUUUGAAAAGAACUAUUACCUUUAGACUGUCGAAGAAUACCUUGCAGAAGUUUGAUAAAUAAUAGCCGUAGCCUGCCAUGAAUAUAGUUAACCAUUUAUAUCGGAAAAGAAGCAAUGUGUGCUCUUAUUAGGCUUGUGGAUUAGAGAAGAGAGUUUGAGUUUUUUUUAAUUAUUAAGCGAUCAUAGAAUAAUCUCACACAAAUAUAAAUAAUUGAAUAGAUGUAGUUAUUUUUAGAUUGCUCUUAAUGAUGAUCGUGGAGUUGUUGAAAAAAGAACCGCAUGCAAGGUGGAUUCAGAAAAUAUUUAUGUUUGAUAAAUAUUUAAAAUCACACGUAAGAAGGUUUGGUCUCUUCAUUCUUGAUUUUUUUUUUAAUUCUUAGAUUAUGUGGCAAAAUAUUUAUUGGUAGAGUGACUUAUGCUUUAGUAUAUGGAGGAUACUGAUAAAAUCAAGGAUAACAACUGUGGCGUUAGACAGAGAUCAACUGUGGCAUUUUGAUAUUAGUUGAUUAACAAAUCGAUUUUAUUAAAUAUUCCAUUUUUCGAGUUUUAAAUAUUUGGAAUUGAAUGUCACUUGUGAAAUGUACAUAUUUAAUCAAAAAACAUUAAGUCUUUAAGAAAAUCGCAACAUUUGAGUGGAUGUCAAAGAUCUAUAAUGAAAGCUAUCGUGAAAGUUGCAUAAGAUUUUCACGGAAACUAAAAGAAGAAGAUGAUUUAUUUACUGUUUUUGCCAUUUAUUAAAAAAUAUUUUAAAGAUACAAAAAAUGGUUUCACCAAACUACGAUACACAAUUGGUAUUUUACGUAAAGUUGAUUACUAUAUAAGCAUAUCCAUAAAAUUGAGAUAAACAUUAGAACUAAUCCCAUAUAUAUUUUACAUUAGAUAUGACUGAUAAGUUAUUGUUAUACGGUAUUAUAUAAUAUUAGCCGUAGAACAAUGAAUUUAAAAGACUAAAACAAAAGAUAAAUUGCUAAUUAUUAGAUAUUCCAGAUAAAUAAUUUAUUAUAUGUUAUUAUAUAUGUUAGUCGUAUAAAAUUAAUUUCAACGGUUAAUUUAAAAAAACAUGAAAAUGUAAUUGUUACAAUAUUAAAAUCUUUUGAAAUAUUUUACAUAAGAUAUGACUGAUUAAUUAAAUGUUAUGCAAUGUUAUAUAUAUAUUAGCCGGCGAAUAAUAAAUGUAAAAGACUAAACCGAGAAAUAAAUUGUUAUAAGUUAUUAGAUAUGCUGGAUAAAUAAGUUUUUAUAUUUUAUUAGAUAUUUUAGCAACACUGAAUCUAAAAAGUUAAUUCAAAAAUACAUGUAAAAAUAAAUAAAAUGUUAAAUUAUAUUGAAUAUGUUACUGUUUUAACAGUAAAUUACAAAAAUCAAUUCAAAAAUAUUAACCCAUAAUAACAUAUCUUCAAAGCUUGAUUACAGACCCCUAAUGAGCACAGUUUAAGAUAAUACAUAUAAGAACCCGAUUGUGCAAUUUUGCACUUAUUUGUUCUGGCAGCAAACUUACAUCGCUGCUGUAAACUUUAAAGAGAUCCUCUGCAAAGAUUUUUUGCUAAAGCUGAAAAAAACAUAUUGCAGAUUCAAUAGCCCACAGAUGGUUAAAGUUGAAAUAUUAUCUUUUAUAUACUCCAUCGCUACGACACCCUAGGAACAUGCAUGUAGAAAUUUAAGAUACUUGAAAACAGGAACAUACGUUACAAUAACUAACUGAGCCACGCAAGAAAAAUACUUACCUCAUUGAAUCAUUUUGUAUUGUUUGUUGAGUGAUCUCUUGAAUCCUUUAUUUCUACAAAGAAAAAGGGAUAAUAGGAUUUUAAUUAUGAAGAAUUGGCGAUUAAAUUUAAGAUUUUAAGUCUGAGGAAUGAAGAAGUACAAAUAUUUUGAAAUUAAAAAAAAUUGAAAUUUAAAAUAAUUUAAGAAUGAUUAAGGGUUGGGAACUUGUCUUAAGUAGUAAUGUUGCUGACGGUGGUAUACAAAAUGAUAUUGAGGACGA